GUCUACGGCCAUACAACUCUGAACACGCCCAAUCUCAUCUGAUCUCAGAAGCUAAGCAGGGUCGGGUCUGGUUAGUACUUGGAGGAGACAAUACCUGUUAAAUGAACC
rnacentral:rRNA from 1 species